rnacentral:rRNA from 1 species
CUUAACCUAUUAAUUAGUUAUGCGAACUUGAGCUUCGGCUCUUCCGGUUCGUGGGCA